UCCCCGUCUCAAGAUAGUUCCUGUUGGUGGAUUUUGCAAUGGAUUUGUGCCUCUGAUCCAUGGGUUUGGUGGACUGUAGGACCGCAGUGAUGGAGGAGGUGAACCACAACGAGCUACCAAUGGAGCCGCUGCCCUACCUAGCUGUGGCGACAGGAGCCGAAGAGCUGCCCCCAAUGGCCACAGGUAGCAUUGACGGGCAGGUUUGUGCGGCGUAUGUGGCAGCCGAUAGGCCAAAUUGAUCCAAAAACUCAUGGCUGGACUCGCAGGUCAGCAGGCACGCCGGAGUGAAGCAUAUGUGUUCCCUGGAAUAACAAGUACCCUGACUCGCCUAUUUCGUUUCUUUAUCGCACAUCAUACGCCUAUUUCUAACUGCAUGUAUGUACUACCAAAAACAUACAAUGACUGGAUGAUCUUGUACUACAGUUAGGGCUGCAGGGGAGUCUUCGUGUGCAGCUAAUCUUCGAGGAGGUCCUGCAGCAGGAGGCACCCAGGCACCCAUGCUUCAGGUGCAUCAGCUGGCAAUGGCACUCAAGAGUAUGUUAAUCCAAUAGGGAACAUCCAGCCUGAGCAUCAAGUUUUGCAGUUGGGAAGGGCAACAAUCAGGGUGCUGAACGUAAUGUCAGAGGUUCAGGUGCUGAGUCGGGGUGGAUGAUGAGCAACUUAAGGCUGCAAAUAGGCAUCGUGAGGAUGUGAUGUAUUUUUGCGACAGAAUACUGACGUGCACAAGGAGGGAACUUGACAAGUAAGUUGGAAAAGCUAAUCGCUUGCAAUAAAUGAGAUUGGAGCCGCUGCAUGUCGAAGUAGCAUACUUGAACCUACUGCCAUUUAUGUUAGCAAGCCAAGCUCUCUGGUAAAGAACAGGUGUAGGAUUUUCCGAAAUUAAAUAUAUGAAGAUCGUGUGCACAUAUGAGGACAUAUAGAAAGUUUGUAAAAAAUGGCAAUAGUUUGAACCAUAUGUGGGCUAUCAAGUUUUGUUCAGCAGGUGUGUCGCCCCUCGCCCACCGAGCCCGCCUGUUUCAGAACUUAUACUACAUUUUUUUGCCUCGACAUCUA